rnacentral:rRNA from 1 species
GUGGGGAAUAUUGGACAAUGGGCGAAAGCCUGAUCCAGCCAUGCCGCGUGUGUGAAGAAGGUCUUCGGAUUGUAAAGCACUUUAAGUUGGGAGGAAGGGCAGUAAGUUAAUACCUUGCUGUUUUGACGUUACCGACAGAAUAAGCACCGGAUAACUUCGUGCCAGCAGCCGCGGUAAUACGAAGGGUGCAAGCGUUAAUCGGAAUUACUGGGCGUAAAGCGCGCGUAGGUGGUUUUGUAAGUUGGAGGUGAAAUCCCCGGGCUCAACCUGGGAACUGCAUCCAAAACUGCAUGACUAGAGUACGGUAGAGGGUAGUGGAAUUUCCUGUGUAGCGGUGAAAUGCGUAGAUAUAGGAAGGAACACCAGUGGCGAAGGCGACUACCUGGACUGAUACUGACACUGAGGUGCGAAAGCGUGGGGAGCAAACAGGAUUAGAAACCCUGGUAGUCC